rnacentral:tRNA from 1 species
GGCGGGAGACCAAACUUGGUAGAGCAGAGGACUGAAAAUCCUCGUGUCACAGUUCAAAUAA